CGGCUAAGGGAGCUGGGCAUGUUUAGCCUGGAGAAGAGGAGGUUAAGGGGUGAUAUGAUAGCCAUGUUCAAAUAUAUAAAAGGAUGUCACAUAGAGGAGGGAGAAAGGUUGUUUUCUGCUGCUCCAGAGAAGCGGACACGGAGCAAUGGAUCCAAACUACAAGAAAGAAGAUUCCACCUAAACAUUAGGAAGAACUUCCUGACAGUAAUAGCUGUUCGACAGUGGAAUUUGCUGCCAAGGAGUGUGGUGGAGUCUCCUUCUUUGGAGGUCUUUAAGCAGAGGCUUGACAACCAUAUGUCAGGAGUGCUCUGAUGGUGUUUCCUGCUUGGCAGGGGGUUGGACUCGAUGGCCC